UAAAGUAUAUUUACUCGAUAGUGGUUGGUGUAUACUUGGGGGUAGUAGAAAAAUUUGGUAAUCUAAACAGAUUAAUUUCCUUCCCCGUGUGAGACGCAGAUUAAAAAAUCUGCUCACUGCCACUGCUUGAAACAUUAGCCUAGGAAAAAACAGCGAGCGUGCUCCAGCCUUGGGAUUCCAUUUUUUUGUAAGUACAUAUACAUUAGGAAUGUAAAUAUCAUAUUUUUAUAAAGCAUUUCAAAGUGUCAUCCUAAAAUAUUAGAAAUUAUAUCAAUUAACCUAAAUCCUAAUCAGAGUCUUAGUCGUCUUCUUCAGUGGUCUUCUUCAGUCAUUCUUCUCUGUGCCCUGUUCUUCAUCAUCUUCCUCAACAAACCUUCUCCAUGUCUCUGGUUUUUUUCAGUACAACACACCCAUUCGAGCCCUUCCCAAUGUCCCUUAGUCCAGUAGUCAACCACCCAUCAACAAUUUCUCUGCCCUAAAAACAAAACACAGAUCUUGAUUUCAGAAACUUGCAGCAUGGAAACUCAAAGAUUGAAGACAAAAAGUUUCUCUUAAAGAUAUGGGGUUGUACCNNNNNNNNNNNNNNNNNNNNNNNNNNNNNNNNNNNNNNNNNNAGCUUCAAAGGAGACAAAAGAACUAGUAUAAAUUACUACAUAGCAGCAAAAUUGAAGGUAUUUCGUUUCCCAUCUCUUCAAAUCUUUACUUAGGAAAAUCAAUUUUUUGGUCAACGCACCCGAUCUAUUUUGACCGAAUCCGACGCAGAUCCCACACCCUUACCCGUGUCAGUGUCGUGUGGACACGGGUACGGCACCGAAAGUGCCGUGUCCGAGCAACUUAGCAACCCAGUCAACUCCAUGAUUAUCGACAUACUAAGUUAGAUGCGUGAAUCUAGAAAAAUGCCAUUGUCACAUGAGCAAUCAAUGAAAUACUCUAUGCACUCUCGAAACACACCUUACCUUGUCUCUCCAUGGUUACAUGAUGAAUUGGCUGUUUACUGAUGGCAUCAAUUUGCUGGUCACUUUUCUUUUGCUUAUCUUUGCUGUGUUGGUUGUAUGGAAGAAUCCAUGUAUUUGUGGCACUGUGAUUUGUGGUUUGUAGUGACUAUAAAAUGUCUGCUACAUAUAUUUCGUCCUCUUUUACAAAGAUCUAUUUAUUGCUACAUUGUUCUCCAACAUAAACUGAAAAAAUGAUUUGUAUUACUAUGUUGCUGAAUGUUCAUUGGCUCAUAUUGUUUUCAACUGAUAAGUUUUCACUGUCCUUUUAUGCUUGCAGAGU
rnacentral:lncRNA from 1 species